UACGAAGGGGGCUAGCGUUGUUCGGAAUUACUGGGCGUAAAGCGCACGUAGGCGGACUAUUAAGUCAGGGGUGAAAUCCCGGGGCUCAACCCCGGAACUGCCUUUGAUACUGGUAGUCUCGAGUCCGGAAGAGGUGAGUGGAAUUCCGAGUGUAGAGGUGAAAUUCGUAGAUAUUCGCAAGAACACCAGUGGCGAAGGCGGCUCACUGGCCCGGUACUGACGCUGAGGUGCGAAAGCGUGGGGAGCAAACAGGG
rnacentral:rRNA from 1 species